rnacentral:lncRNA from 1 species
GGUUGGACCAAACCACGCUGAUCUGCACCAGGUUGUGCCAAACCACGCUGAUCUACUCCAGGUUGGACCAAACCAUGCUGAACUGCACCAGGUUGAGCCAAAUCACUCUGAUCUGCACCAGAUUGUACCAAACCAUGCUGAUCUGCACCAGGUUGCACCACAUCAAUCUGAUCUGCACCAGGUUGGACCAAGCCAGGCUGAUAUGCACCAGGCUGCACCAAAGCACGCUGAAAUCUGCCAGGUUGGACCAUGCCAGGCUGAUCUACACCAGGCUGUACCAAGACACCCUGACCUGUGCCAGAUUGGACCAAAUCAUGCUGACCUGUGCCAGGCUGGAUCAAACCAUGCUGAUCUCUACCAGGUUGGGCCAAACCAGACUGAUCCAUUCCAGGCCAGACCAAACCACGCUGAUCUGCACCAGGUUGGGCCAAACCAGACUGAUCCAUUCCAGGCCGGACCAAACCACGCUGAUCUGCACCAGGUUGGACCAAGCCAGGCUGAUAUGCACCACGCUGCACCAAAGCACGCUGAAAUCUGCCAGACUGGAUCAAAUCAUGCUGCUCUGUGCCAGGUUGUAUGAAGCCAGUUGCUUCCAAACUGGGCUGCACAAAACCUUGCUGAUCUGCACUAAUUGGCAUCAAACCAGGUGAUACCAAACCAUGCUGGUCUGUAAAAGGUAGAACCAGGCCAUGUUGAUCGACGACAGGCAAUGUCAAUCCUUGCUGGUCUAUACCAGGGGGUACUAGUCCUUGCUGACCCAUGCCUGAUAUUACACAUCCACGCUGAUCCAUG